AGAGUUUGAUCCUGGCUCAGAACGAACGCUGGCGGCAUGCCUAACACAUGCAAGUCGAACGAAGUCUUCGGACUUAGUGGCGCACGGGUGCGUAACGCGUGGGAAUCUGCCCUUGGGUACGGAAUAACUCAGAGAAAUUUGUGCUAAUACCGUAUAAUGUCUUCGGACCAAAGAUUUAUCGCCCAAGGAUGAGCCCGCGUAAGAUUAGCUAGUUGGUGGGGUAAAGGCCUACCAAGGCGACGAUCUUUAGCUGGUCUGAGAGGAUGAUCAGCCACACUGGGACUGAGACACGGCCCAGACUCCUACGGGAGGCAGCAGUGGGGAAUAUUGGACAAUGGGCGAAAGCCUGAUCCAGCAAUGCCGCGUGAGUGAUGAAGGCCUUAGGGUUGUAAAGCUCUUUACCAGGGAUGAUAAUGACAGUACCUGGAGAAUAAGCUCCGGCUAACUCCGUG
rnacentral:rRNA from 1 species